UAGACGACUUCGUACAUACGUGUUUUACAUUAUACUUCCUUCUCUCUCUCUCUCUCUCUCUCUCUCUCUCUCUCUCUCUCUCUCUGUCUGUCUCUCUCUCUCUCUCUGUCUCUCUCUCUCUCUCUCUCUCUCUCUCUCUCUCUCUCUCUCUCUCUCUCUCUCUCUCUCUCUCUCUAUCAUUGUCACAUGUCGUAGAUAAUGGUCGGUAUUCUCCUGUACCUAUCUUUCCCUCUAGCCUUCCCCCUCAUGUUUUGACUCAGAGUGGUUCAUGCUCUCCUGUAUUUUCAUGUGAGUGGGUUUUCUCAAAGUGAGUAUUAUCUCUCUCGGCACUACUUUAAGAGUACAAUUUUAGCUCAUAAGUACGAUGGGAAAGGUUAUAUAAUGGUUUUGAGCAGAAAUUAUUUGCCAUAUGCAUUAGCCAUAUAUAUAACAGGCUUGACCUUCUAAAAUAGUGUGUUUAAAGGAUGAUCAACCUUUACUUUACCUCGGUAUGCUAUGACCAACCAGACAGACACCAUUGUACAUCAUACAUUAGAGUGCAUGCUGUUAACAAAACCAGAGGAGAAAUAAAUGUAAAUUGUCAAACUUAAAAAAUGAUCCAACGCCUCCCAUUGUUCUGACAUUGUGAUGGUAUACUUGUUUUUGUGCGUCCAUGUUGUCAUACAAACUUGUUCACAUACUUUGCAUAACUCAUUUGCAUGUGUCCAUGUGUUUUGCCCACAUUUUCUAUCCCAUCUAUUGUUGUGGCUCUUUAUGCCUGUUUUUUGUUAUUUUUUCUUUCCCAGGUUCGUGACUACUUAACAAACAUGGCAGUUCGUUACUGGCCUUGGGGGGAGGGGGGGGGGGGGAGGGAGGCUGUGUGUGUGACGAGUGCGACGGACAAUAAGCACUCCGCUCCCUAAUCGUUUUGUGCAGAAUAAAUGCUAAUGACUGUCAGCGGUUGAUAAUAAUACGCACCUCUGCAUUAUUCCUACCCGGCAACAAAUAUUAAGGGGACCAGACGUCCCCUUCGUCUCCGUAUAGGCUGUCAAUACAAUAUCAAACAUUCCUUAUUCGAGAAGUCUACUAUGACUUGUUUUUGGGUGGUUUACCAAAGCUUGAAACACAAAAUCUUUUAUUACAUUUGCCAUGGUAAGAAUGUGCAAAAUAUUUCAGAAACCUUAGCAUCAAAUAGGUUGUUUAUAUGAAGAAGUCCAAAUGACAAGUGUCCGCGUUCUCAUUUCAGAAAUCUUCUCAGCUUACAUGUAGGCCUACUCCUUCCCUCGAGUGUGUCAUGGGAGAAUUGACGGCCGUGCACACAGUGCGCUGUAUAAAUAAUAAAUAAAUAAAUAAAAUACCUUAAGUCUUUUGAGUCGAACCAGGCUCGAGGGCUCCGUGGAGAAUCUAAUCGAAGCAAUCUAAACAGAAUUGAAUGUGUAAAGUAGAGCGGAGGUGAGCGGUGCUCCCCCGCGGUCUGGAACAACACUGUUAUGAUUCUACACAGGUAUAGUGCCCCCGAUAUAGACAUUUAUCUUUCAGAUCAGCCUCGCGUCUCAAACCAAACUCGCAUUGUAAGAAAAUCGGAAAAACUAAACUCAGACCAGGGUUGCCGCGGAUCUUGAAAAGUCUUAAAAGUCAUUCAAUUUAAUUUUUGAUAAUCAAGGUCUUAAAUGUCUUAAAAAGUCUGGAAUUAUUGGGUGUGCGGCAUUACAUUUAAUCGGGGGCAGAAUUAAUGAGCGGGUGUAUAUUUGUUCGGUUUUAUGUUCUAUUUUACAAACUACAAUGUCCGAUUGGUCACAUCGAUAGCAUUCUUCUUCAGUGGCCGAAUUGAACAGUUGGGCGAGUACGGCAUCCAACAUGCCCGGCUCCCUCUCGUCAUUAUCCGAGUCAGUGUCGCUGCUGUUGCCUGGCAGUUCAGUGAUUAUUCCUGCCUUCGUGAAAGCUUGGACCACAGUUGAGACUGAUAUAUCAGCCCAGGCAUCCACGGUCCAUGGGCAGAUAGUGGCGUAAGUAGCCCGGCGCUGACCCAGUUUCAAUACAUAUUCAUGCCUCCACCGGUGAAAUACUCCUUUAAAGGUAUAGACGUCUCGGUUAUAUAGAAGUUAAAGGUAUAGACGUCUAUUAUAUAGAAGCUGAAUGUUUCCUGUAAAGGCCUAGCGAUUAAUCAGACCUUGGUAAAAAAACAACAACAUUCAAUCCAUAUGCAUAGUGUUUGCACUAUAUUUUGCACUAUAUUUAAGUUAUUUUGUUGUUUUCUGUCAUAAUUGUUAUACCAUAAGAUUUGUUAUUGGUAAGAUGGAAUUUGUUAAGAACGUUACUAUUCAUAAUUCAAACUGAAUAAAACUCAUAAUGAACAGAG